GUUUAUGAGUACUGAAAGAUCCCCGAAGAGAGACCCUUACUCAAGACUCAGGAAGUCGCAGACCCAAGACACAGAGAGACCA
rnacentral:pre_miRNA from 14 species